rnacentral:rRNA from 1 species
GUGCACCAGGCGAGAAUCCUCCGCAAUGCGGGAAACCGUGACGGGGUCACCCCGAGUGCCACCCGAUGAGGGUGGCUUUUCCCCGGUCUAAAAAGCCGGGGGCAAUAAGCGGGGGGCAAGUCUGGUGUCAGCCGCCGCGGUAAUACCAGCCCCGCGAGUGGUCGGGACGUUUAUUGGGCCUAAAGCGUCCGUAGCCGGCUCGGUAAGUCCCUCCUUAAAUCCACGGGCUCAACCCGUGGGCUGGGAGGGAUACUGCCGGGCUAGGGGGCGGGAGAGGCCGAGGGUACUCCCGGGGUAGGGGCGAAAUCCGUUAAUCCCGGGAGGACCACCAGUGGCGAAGGCGCUCGGCUGGAACGCGCCCGACGGUGAGGGACGAAAGCUGGGGGAGCAAAGGGGAUUAGAUACCCCGGUAGU